AUAAAUAGCGAGUAAGGCCUGAGAUAGCUGGGUUGCUGUAAAGUGGCCUAACUUCCGAAAGGAUAAAUCGGCUUUCAGGGUUCGCUUCUAU
rnacentral:sRNA from 12 species